AACGAGGAAGAUGUUUACCGAUGGAGUGCGUAUCAUUAAUGAGCAAAUCGACCAAUUCAUUAGUACUCAGACGGUUAGUGGCCGCACGGUUGCAAAGAGCUUCACCGAGAAAAAUAAUCAAAUGAGUAGUAAUUUAAUGGAUGAUGGUACUAGUGUGCAGGAUUCUUGUACUUUUCAAAAUAGUUUCAAUGAACCCGAUCAAGUGCGAGCAAAAGGGUGCGGCAAAAGGUUGAAGGGAGGAAAAGAGAAAGCAAUGGCUAGAGCAAAAAAUAAAAAAGAUAGACGUUGCCACGGGUGUGGUAAAGUAGGCCAAUCACAUGAUAAGCGAAAUUGUCCGGCACUCACAAAUCCGUCUUCUACAUGCGGUGAUACAAAUUGGCAAGAGGGUAAUGGGUCAUCAAGUGAAGAUGGGGAUGAUGGGCUCCAAUGAAGACGGUCUUCUACAUGCUUCUAUGGGGAUGAUGGGGGAGUAGUUCUAAAGGUACUGUAUUCAAGAAUUAAAAUUGCAGACAUGAUGUUUUCAGCAGAUAGAUGCAGGAAUUUGUUCUCUGGUCACUGAGCUUUGUUCAUCUUUUUUGGCAAUGCAAUAGAAGAUGCAAGGAUGCACUUAUUCUGUUCUUGACUCCUGAAGCCAACAACUUGGUUAAUUUUGGUUUAUAUGAAGUUCCGUUAUGCUAUUUUUAGUACUCAGACAUAAAUAAUACAACAAAGUAGUUGUUUAACCCUGCUGCUGUUGUUUGGACUUUCAUAUGAUUCUGGUGGAAUAUAUUUCUGGUUUAUGGAUUGUAAGACUGUAUUAUGAGCAUUUUCAUUUUGACUCUUGAAGCCAACAACUUGCUUAAUUUCUGGUUUAUGGAUUGUAAGACUGGUUUAUGGAUUCUGGUGGAAUACAUUGUGAAAGUUGUGGGUUAAUGCUUUUGAUAUCAGUUUGUGAGAAGU